rnacentral:antisense_RNA from 1 species
CUUGAUCGACCCCAACCACAGCGGACGAUCCGCCGGGCGAUCGCGGCCGUAGGUGGCCAGCAAGGCCUGCGCCUC